rnacentral:rRNA from 1 species
AGACAGUGCCUACGGGAUGCAGCAGUGAGGAAUAUUGGUCAAUGGACGAGAGUCUGAACCAGCCAAGUAGCGUGAAGGAUGACUGCCCUAUGGGUUGUAAACUUCUUUUAUAUGGGAAUAAAAUGUUCCACGUGUGGGAUUUUGUAUGUACCAUAUGAAUAAGGAUCGGCUAACUCCGUGCC